AUUGAACGCUGGCGGCAGGCCUAACACAUGCAAGUCGAGCGGAGCGGCGGACGGGCGAGUAGGGCCUAGGAAUCAGCCUGGCAGUGGGGGAUAACGACCGGAAACGGGCGGUAACUCCGAAUACUAUCAGACGAGCCUAGUUCGGAUUAGCUAGUUGGUGGGGUAGUGGCCUACCAAGGCGACGAUCCGUAACUGGUUUGAGAGGAUGAUCAGUCACACUGGAACUGAGACACGGUCCAGACUCCUACGGGAGGCAGCAGUGGGGAAUAUUGCACAAUGGGCGAAAGCCUGAUGCAGCCAUGCCGCGUGUAUGAAGAAGGUCUUCGGGUUGUAAAGUACUUUAAGUUGGGAGGCGUUACCAGCAGAAUAAGCACCGGCUAACUUCGUGCCAGCAGCCGCGGUAAUUC
rnacentral:rRNA from 1 species